GAUGAAGAACGUAGCGAAAUGCGAUACUUGGUGUGAAUUGCAGAAUCCCGUGAACCAUCGAGUCUUUGAACGCAAGUUGCGCCUCAAGCCAUUAGGUUGAGGGCACGUCUGCCUGGGCGUCACAUAUCGUUGCCUGAUGCCAGUUUCCUCGUGAUGGGUGACUGUGCAGAGCGAAUGAUGGCUUCCCGUGAGCAUUGUUGCCUCAUGGUUGGUUGAAAAUUGAGUCCUUGGUAGGGAGCGCCGUGAUAGAUGGUGGUUGAGUGACGAACGAGACCCAAUCAUGUGAGACCCCUACCGAAUUUGGCCUUCAUGACCCACAUGCGUCUUUGGAACGCUCAUGACGAGACCUCAGGUCAGGCGGGGCUACCCGCUGAGUUUAAGCAUAUCAAUAAGCGGAGGA
rnacentral:misc_RNA from 1 species